rnacentral:rRNA from 1 species
AAUGAACGUUGGCGGCGUGGAUUAGGCAUGCAAGUCGAGCGAGAACCCGCAAGGGGGACAGCGGCAAACGGGGUAGGAAUGAUUGGUGACGUACCCUCGGGACGGGGAUAGCCACGGAAAACUGUGGGUAAUACCCGAUAAUCUCCCAGGUUUGAAGACCUGGGUGCAAAGGUGUGAUUCCACCGGAGGGGAGGCCAAUCUGGUAUUAGCUAGUUGGUAGGGUAACGGCCUACCAAGGCUACGAUGCCUAGGGGGUGUGAGAGCAUGGCCCCAACCACUGGGACUGAGAUACUGCCCAGACACCUACGGGUGGCUGCAGUCGAGAAUCUUCGGCAAUGGGCGAAAGCCUAACCGAGCGACGCCGCGUGCGGGAUGAAGGCCUUCGGGUUGUAAACCGCUGUCAGAGGGGAUGAAGUUAUAGGAGGUUCUCCUUCUAUAUUGACAGAGCCUCAGAGGAAGCACGGGCUGAGUAUGUGCCAGCAGCCGCGGUAA